GAUGAACGCUGGCGGCGUGCUUAACACAUGCAAGUCGAACGAUGACCCCGUGCUUGCACGGGUGGUUAGUGGCGAACGGGUGAGUAACACGUGAGUAACCUGCCCCCGACUUUGGGAUAAGCCCGGGAAACUGGGGCUAAUACCGGAUAUGACUUCUUACCGCAUGGUGGGUUGUUGAGAGAUUUAUCGGUGGGGGAUGGACUCGCGGCCUAUCAGCUUGUUGGUGAGGUAAUGGCUCACCAAGGCGACGACGGGUAGCCGGCCUGAGAGGGUGACCGGCCACACUGGGACUGAGACACGGCCCAGACUCCUACGGGAGGCAGCAGUGGGGAAUAUUGCACAAUGGGCGAAAGCCUGAUGCAGCGACGCCGCGUGAGGGAUGACGGCCUUCGGGUUGUAAACCUCUUUCAGUAGGGAAGAAGCGAAAGUGACGGUACCUGCAGAAGAAGCGCCGGCUAACUACGUG
rnacentral:rRNA from 1 species